CGCUGUGUAGUGGUUUAAGCAUUGGACUAUGACUCUGGAGACAUAGGUUCGAAUCCCAUCUCAGCCA